GGCCCGGUGGCGGAUGGUCUGCGCGCGCGCUCAAUAACGAGUACUAGUAGCAGUUUGCGGGAGGCGCUCGUUCGAAUCGAGCCUGGGCCA